rnacentral:rRNA from 1 species
UACGAAGGGGCUAGCGUUGUUCGGAAUCACUGGGCGUAAAGCGCACGUAGGCGGAUCUUUAAGUCAGGGGUGAAAUCCCGAGGCUCAACCUCGGAACUGCCUUUGAUACUGGGGAUCUCGAGUCCGGGAGAGGUGAGUGGAACUGCGAGUGUAGAGGUGAAAUUCGUAGAUAUUCGCAAGAACACCAGUGGCGAAGGCGGCUCACUGGCCCGGAACGUGACGCUGAGGUGCGAAAGCGUG